UACGAAGGGGGCUAGCGUUGCUCGGAAUGACUGGGCGUAAAGGGCGCGUAGGCGGUUCGUACAGUCAGACGUGAAAUUCCCGGGCUCAACCUGGGGCUGCGUUUGAUACGUGCGGGCUUGAGUUCGGAAGAGGGUCGUGGAAUUCCCAGUGUAGAGGUGAAAUUCGUAGAUAUUCGCAAGAACACCGGUGGCGAAGGCGGCUCACUGGCCCGAUACUGACGCUGAGGCACGAAAGCGUGGGAGCAAACAGG
rnacentral:rRNA from 1 species